rnacentral:rRNA from 1 species
CUACGGGACGCAGCAGUGAGGAAUAUUGGUCAAUGGGCGAGAGCCUGAACCAGCCAUCCCGCGUGCAGGAUGACGGCCCUAUGGGUUGUAAACUGCUUUUCUACUAGAAGAAACCUGAUUACGUGUAAUCAGUUGCCGGUAUAGUAGGAAUAAGCAUCGGCUAACUCCGUGCCAGCAGCCGCGGUAAUACGGAGGAUGCAAGCGUUAUCCGGAUUCAUUGGGUUUAAAGGGUGCGCAGGUUGGCUUUUAAGUCAGUGGUGAAAUGCUGCCGCUUAACGGUAGAAUUGCCAUUGAUACUGAGAGUCUUGAAUAUGGUUGAGGUAGGCGGAAUGUGUUGUGUAGCGGUGAAAUGCAUAGAUAUGACACAGAACACCGAUUGCGAAGGCAGCUUACUAAGCCAUUAUUGACGCUGAGGCACGAAAGCGUGGGGAGCGAACAGGAUUAGAUACCCCCGUAGUC